rnacentral:rRNA from 1 species
CUUGGUCAUUUAGAGGAAGUAAAAGUCGUAACAAGGUUUCCGUAGGUGAACCUGCGGAAGGAUCAUUAGUGAACGCCCUCACGGGCUUAUAACUAUUCCAAACCUCUGUGAACCGUGCCCUUCGGGGCUAUUUUACAAACAUGGUGUAAUGAACGUCAUAUAUCAUAACAAAACAAAACUUUCAACAACGGAUCUCUUGGCUCUCGCAUCGAUGAAGAACGCAGCGAAAUGGGAUAAGUAAUGUGAAUUGCAGAAUUCAGUGAAUCAUCGAAUCUUUGAACGCACCUUGCGCCCUCUGGUAUUCCGGAGGGCAUGCCUGUUUGAGUGUCAUGUAGACUCAAUCCCUCGGGUUUCCGAGGAGAUUGGACUUGGGUGUUGCCGCUCUGCCGGCUCGCCUUAAAAGACUUAGUGGGAUAGCACAGUAGUCGGCGUAAUAAGUUUCGUCGGUGAAGGUUGUGAUGACUGCUUACAAUCGCCCUCGGGCAAUUUUUGACUCUGACCUCAAAUCAGGUAGGACUACCCGCUGAACUUAAGCAUAUCAAUAAGCGGAGGA